GACGAACGCUGGCGGCGUGCCUAAUACAUGCAAGUCGAACGCAGUGGGGACGGGUGAGUAACACGUGGGUAACCUCCCAUCAGAGGGGAUAACACUUGGAAACAGGUGCUAAACCGAUAUUGAUGUAUGGACCCGCGGUGCAUUAGCUAGUUGGUGAGGUAACGGCUCACCAAGGCCACGAUGCUUAGCUGGCCGGAGAGGAUGAUCGGCAACACUGGGACUGAGCCACGGCCCAGACUCCUACGGGAGGCAGCAGUAGGGAAUCUUCGGCAAUGGACGAAAGUCUGACCGAGCAACGCCGCGUGUGUGAAGAAGGUUUUCGGAUCGUAAAACACUGUCGUUAGAGAAGCGGUAUCUACCCAGAAAGCCCCGGCUAACUACGUGCCAGCAGCCGCGGUAAUAC
rnacentral:rRNA from 1 species